CGCUGAAGGUGAAAUUUUUUUAGAGGGAAAUCACCGCCCCCCUUCUCUGUUUACAACAAUCUGUUCAAACCUCUCACACAGAUUCUCCUCCACCACCAAACCUCACCCCACCUCACCUCUCCGCCGACACCAUCACCGGCGUAGAUCACCACGGCCACCGCCACCACGGCCACCGCCACCACCGCAGAUCGUCACUGCCGUCGAUGAUCGUCCUCCGUCCUCCGCUGGUCCCUCUCUCUCUCUCUCUCUCUCUCUCUCUCUCAUAAACACCCACUGUCGUCGAUGAUCCUCCUCCUCCUCCGUUGGUGCCUCCGCCGGAUCCAAGAAGAUGGUCAAGAUCUGAAUCAAAUUUGAGUCCUAGGUCGAGAUCUGACCGUUGUGAGCGAUCCACUUUUUCGGCACAGUACACUUGGCGCACAGUUUUUCUAAUCUAUCCCUAGUUGCGUACUGUCCACUUCCUCUUCCCCCAUUCUUCUUCUCUCGCAAACCCCGACAACACCCUGUAAAUAUUGUCAAUUUCAUAUCUGAAAUUAGGGUUUCUUUUUUGACAAUUCAACCUAUUUCUUCUCAUUCUGUUCUUCAAUUUCAACUACAAGCCCAAAUUAGGCAACUUUUUGUGCCCAAAACAAAAAGAAAGAGGUAUUUUUUUAAAAAAAUUAUUGAUUGGGGAUUAUCUGCUUAUUUGCUGUUUGAUUUCUUCGAGACUUUGUGGAAGAUUCGCUAUAGGAGAUAAGAAUUUUGAGUUUUGUUGUUUUUGACAUUUGAUUCCAUAGAAAAAGGCGAACUUGGGUCAUUUUGUGUAUAGAGAUUAGAGUAUUUUUUAGGGAAAUUUGUGUUUGUUGUGAGUUAUGAUUGAGGGUUUUAUUUUAUUUUAUUUUUUUUUUGUUUCGAUUUGAUGCUGUUAAGUGCAAUAAUUUGAUGAUUCAGAGCUUGGUUUAAUUGUUUGGGAUAAAAUUUUUGUGUGUUCUUGAGGUGUGAUACAGGGGAGCUGUUUUUCUUAGAAUUUGAUUAUGUUGAAGAAGAAAAAUUGUUCAUUUAAGGGUUGGAAUUAGGUUUUUGGGGAUUAUGUUUUUGUGUUCUUUGGGGUAAGACAAAUUGGUAUUGCUCUUCUUUUUUGGUCUUUAGAGCUGUUUUUGUGUUCAUUAAAAUAUUAAGGCAAUAACUUAUUGGUGGUAUAAGAUACAUAUCAAGGGUUGGGCAGGAAUAAAAAUUUCUGCUGUGGAGGUGGUUGAAAGGAAAUCAGAAUAGCAAUCUUGUUUAGCCCAGGAAUCCGGAGAUGGGGUGAUUCUUGUUCUUAUAUCUACUUGCUCGAAAGAAAAAUGAAGUCUGUCCAAGAGGUAAGUUCAACCUAAUGACGACUGUUCAAAAUGCCAGUUCAGAUUCAGACUAACUUGUUGCCAUUGUUAUAGCGUCAUCUCUUCAGCGGUUUAUCUUCAACUUCUGAGAUAUACUUAAGUUCAAUUUUGAUCUUUCUGGAGAAGCCGGCUCUAGCAGCUCCAUGUUUUGCUCACAGGGAUAUUGUCACUAGACGAUACCUUCACACCUUCUUACCUCUCCUAUAAAUAUUUCCUAAUUAUCAAGUGUUUUCUCAAUCAUGCUCUUUUAUUUUUCUCUAUCUCAGAACUUAUAGGCAUGAUGUGUGUAAAGGGUUCCAUCUUGUUUUGAAACAAAACCUUAAGAAGGUCGCACUAAAAUAGAACCUGAUGUUGUCCAUGGUCAAAGGAAAGUAUAUCUUAGUUUUCUUCUGAAUUUAUAGCUACAAUUCCAGUUUCCCAUCCCAUCUUGGUAGAAUCUACACCCUGUAUAUAACUUCUUUGAUGAUUUGUUUUUUGUCUAGAUUAAACUAAAUUUGUACGUAUUUGUCUUUAGUUUUUGAUAAGUUCAUUGGAAUUUGUUUGUUUAUCAUUAUAUAUUGAUUGGAUGUUGUUAUGGACAAACACAAUAAUGGUGAUACUCCAAUGUCUAAAAAUAUGGGUUCCAUUCACAAGGUCUAAGUUGCAGAAGUGCUUCUUUUAUCGCUACCGAGUGAUUGUGCUACUAACUCCUUGUACUAAACUGUUUUAUUGCUGGCUACCUUUUGAACUCUUUAUCUCAAACUAUGUACUUUCCUGAUUGAUAUACUCACUUUUUGAGGUAUGGACAUCAUGACUGUUGCUUUUGUUUUAGGUUUCUAGUCACUAUACCUUAAGCCAAUGGUUUUCAUCAUAUGAUCUGUUAGAAAAUUCUCAUUCAUGGGUAACUUUUAAUUAAGUAGGAUGUUCCAAGAGCUGGAGUAAAAGAAAAUUUAUUUAAGUGAAGCACAUUGAAUCUGAGGGUAAUGUCGAUUCCCUCAUUAGCUUUGUACAGGCUGGAAACUUGAAGGGGAAAAUAACCAGGUCAACCGCAUUCUUCAAGAUGUUCAAUUUAAAGACCAGAAGCAGUUUAAGCAGUUUGUUUCCCAAAGCAAGGCUAGAAUGGAGGAGUGAUUAAGAGGCAGUGGUGAUGAUAUUGCUGCCGCAAGGAUGGGUGCAAAGUUAAAUGUUGCAGGGUGGAUUUCUAAACAAAUGGGUGGCAUUAGAACCUGAUAAUGCGACAUGUGAAUCACUCUGCUAGUGAUCUGAUUGAUCUCUUGCAAGGGCUUUUGCGAUAUGACCAAGCAGAGCAGCUCAAAGCAAAGGAAGCUCUUAGACAUUCCUACUUGAGAAGGUGACUGGUUGGGUGGUUGAAUACCAAGAUAAUCUGGUUAGCCUUGGUGUUGAUGAGUCCUUAGCUCAAGUUUGUUCCGAGAGUGGUGCAAUGGAUCCCCUUAUGAAUGCAUAUGUUGAAAGAAUACAAGCUACAACAAUGAAAUGGUACUUGAAUAUCCUUGAAGCUGAAAAGGUACAACCACCAAAGAAAACAGACGAUGGGAAGCUAUAUACACCUGCUACUUUUGAUUUGUUUAGGAUCUUUGGCGAGCAAGUGCAAAUUGCUCGUGAAAAUAGCAUCGAUGUCAUGCUAUACAGAAUUGCUUUGUCCACUAUUCAGACGGAUGAAUUCAUACACGAAGCUAAAUCGUAUAGGACUAAUUGGCGCUAUAAGUAUUUUUUGAAGUAUUAUAUAUUUUUGAAUAAAUGUGUAUGGAAAAUAUUUCGAUAAACUAGUAGUUAUAUUUUUUGAUAGACCAGUAGUUACAUUUUUGGAUGGGUGUGUAUGGAAAAUAUUUGAGUAGACUAGUUAUAUUUUUUGAUAGAUGCGCAUGGAUAAAAAUUUAAAUUGGAGGAAUAUGUACUUUGGAAUUUCUUGUAGAUGGAAACUUAUAAUAGUUAACUUUUAUUAAACUGGUUCAAGAUUA